rnacentral:rRNA from 1 species
AACGAACGCUGGCGGCGUGGCUAAGACAUGCAAGUCGAACGGACUAUUCAAUUGAGUAAUCGAGCGAAUAGUUAGUGGCGUAAGGGUUAGUAAUGGAUAGGUAACGUACCCUGAGCUUCGGGAUAGCGCCGGUUGCUUCGGCAACCUACCGAAAGGGGCGGUAAUACCGAAUAAUACCGUUAACCAUAUGGUUGAUGGUCAAAGAUUUAUCGGCACAGGAGCGGCCUAUCUCCUAUCAGCUUGUUGGUGAGGUAAUGGCUCACCAAGGCAUCGACGGGUAGCGGGACUGAGAGGUUGACCCGCAACAUCGGGACUGAGACACUGCCCGGACCUCCACGGAGGGCUGCAGUAACGAAUAUUGCGCAAUGGGCGAAAGCCUGACGCAGCGACGCCGCGUGUAGGAGGAAGUCUUUCGGGAUGUAAACUACUGUCAGGGGUAAGAAAGUGCGCUUCGGCGUAUUGAUCUAACCCAAAGGAAGUCACGGCUAACUUCGUGCCAGCAGCCGCGGUAAGACGAAGGUGGCGAGCGUUGUUCGGUGUUACUGGGCUUAAAGCGUAUGUAGGCGGAAAGGUAAGCGUCUUGUGAAAUCCCUCGGCUUAACCGAGGAAUUGCUUGGCGAACUACUUUUCUUGAGGCAAGUAGGGGUGCAUGGAACUCUUGGUGGAGCGGUGGAAUGCGUAGAUAUCAAGAGGAACGCCGGAGGUGAAAACGGUGCACUGGGCUUGUCCUGACGCUGAGAUACGAAAGCGUGGGGAGCGAACGGGAUUAGAUACCCCGGUAGUCCACGCUGUAAACGAUGUCUACUAGGUUGCGGUGGUUCUGACACUGUCGCGACCGAAGCAGAAGUGUUAAGUAGACCGCCUGGGGAGUACGGUCGCAAGGCUAAAACUCAAAGGAAUUGACGGGGGCUCACACAAGCGGUGGAGCAUGUGGAUUAAUUCGAAGCAACGCGUAGAACCUUACCUGGGUUUGACAUGCUUGGAUGCCAAUCUGGAAACAGAGAAAGCUGCCUUCGGGUGAAACUUGCACAGGUGCUGCAUGGCUGUCGUCAGCUCGUGUCGUGAGAUGUCGGGUUAAGUCCUUUAACAAGCGAAACCCUUGCCGUUAGUUGCCAGCGGGUCAUGCCGGGGACUCUAACGGGACUGCCGGUGUAAAACCGGAGGAAGGUGGGGACGACGUCAAGUCAUCAUGGCCUUUAUGCCCAGGGCUUCACACGUGCUACAAUGGCGGCAACAAAGCGACGCAAAACCGUGAGGUCGAGCAAAUCGCAAAAAUGUCGCCCCAGUUCGGAUUGCAGGCUGGCAACUCGCCUGCAUGAAGUCGGAAUCGCUAGUAAUCGCGUACCAGCUACGACGCGGUGAAUGUGUUCCUGAGCCUUGUACACACCGCCCGUCAAGUGAUGGGAGUUGGGAGUACCCGAAGUCGGAUUGCUAACCCCUCGGGGAAGCGUCCGCCGACGGUAAGCCCGAUGACUGGCACU